GAAUCGGCUACACGGUAGGCAUAAAGCCAUCACUCGAUUCAAAAGCUGUUAACUGUCACAAUCAGCUCAAGGGGCAGCCAGGAACUCAACCUGUGAUGAGCAAUGGGUUUCCCCUUCCUUUAAAGACUUCCCAGUUUGUGUUUUUCCUCAUCAGCUGAAAGUUGACAAGCUUUUCAUCUAAAAAAAAAAAAAAAUUAAAAAACAAACAAACAUCCCUUCAGAUUCCCAGUGACCCAGACAAAUGUCAUUCUUCAAGUCACUCUUUGAACUAGUCCAGUUACAGCCUCUCGGUGGCUACCUCACUGGUCCAUGAGCUGAGCAAAUGCUUUCACAUUCACUGUGUAUUUGCACAGAAGUCCUGGUUUUUUAAGUCCUUGCAAAUUAGAAUUUAGAAGCCCUAAUGGGACUUAUUAUCCAGGGGAGACAAAUAGCAAAGCUUUACAUAUUAUACCACUGAUUUUUUUUAAAUUAAAAUUAGACCAUGUGCAAGAAAAUUGAACCCCACGGUUACUGCUAAACAAACUUUAAAGAGCUUCUAACACAGACCUGGGAUUAGAGCAGCUGUCUCUUUGCUGCCACAUAAUUGCUGCAUACUCACACCAGAGGUGCGGGUCAUGCAUCCUUCUAAACCUCUCCCAUGACAACCCCAUUCAGAACAGUCUUUAGCUCAAUGUCCCAAGCAGCUGCUGGAAAGAAAGGGAAACAGCAGAAGAGCUGGGUGCCAAUGAACUCCCUUUGACCACUGAGAACACAAAGUGAUUUCUCGUUGGUUUGUUUGUUUGUUUUUUAAUUAACAAGCAUGAAGAAUGUUUUCUGCUUUGUUCUGCUUUGUAUGAGGAGCUACAGACUAAACCCAGGACCUUGUCGUGUUAGGCCACGUUCCCAGCACAAGCAUGAGGUGUGUGUUGGUUGGAUUUUUGUCAACUUGACACAAGUUAGAGUCAUCUAAGGAGAAGGUACUUCUGUUGAGAAACGGAACCCAUUAGAUUGGCCUGCUGGCAAGCCUGUGGUGCUUUUUACUUGAUUGGUGAUUGAUGUGAAAGGGCCUAGCCCACUGUGGGCGGUGUCACCCUUAGGCAGAUGGUCCUGAGAUACAUAAGAAAGCUAAACGAGCAAGUCAGGGUGAGCAAGCCAAUAGGCAACACUCCUCCAUAGCUUUUGCUUCAAUUCCUGUCUCUGCCUUGAAUCCUUGCUUGACUUCACACAGUGAUGACCUACUACCUGGAUGUCUAAGAGGACAUAAAACCCUUUUUCUCCCUUAGUUGCUUUUGGUCAUGAUGUUUAUCAGAGCAACAGAACACGCAAACUAAUUUCUUAAAGCAAACUGGUUCUUAAAGACUAGUAUCCAUUCUCAGCAGGUGAAUAGACUGGCCUUUACCAUGAAGACCAGAGAGCAUCAAAACCAGUUUGCUAGAGGGAGAUAUUUGUAGAAGUCAUGCCUAGAAAUGGUUACAAUGGGUAGAUGGUCUAAUAUUCUUCAAUGACAGGGAUGAAAGAGAGAAAAUUCUAAAGUUGUUUACAUUAUGGUUGAGGGAAAAUACAAGAUGAGGAAAAAAACAGUCUAGAUUCAUUGUGUUUUGAUAUUUUGUUUGUUUGUUUUUUAACCUCAGUAUCUUAGUUCUGAAGGUUGGAAACUUCCUCAUUCUAGGAGAGAGCUGUUCUGUACAUGUAGAAAUAUUUAAUGAUAUCCC
rnacentral:lncRNA from 1 species